ensembl:lncRNA
UCGGGUUUUUUUGCAGCCUUGUAAAAGGGAUAGGUUUAGUGCUUCUUAGCAGAAGCUGGCACGCCUGAACAACGCAAAACCUUAACAGGAUCUUACGUCAAAAGGAAGGGCCUUUGCUCGGACCAGCGCAGUGGCAACAGGACUUCUGGUAUUGCUUCCUCAGACACAAACAGUAAAUGUCCGGCAGCCUGCAUCCUCCCCCACGGGGUCCCAGGACGAUGGACCUUCACUAUUUAAUUUUUUCACCAAGAUAAUGAUCUCUAUAGUCCCAAAUAAAAUUACAUACGUCACUUGAAAGCUCUGGGGGUACUCAAUUGUCUUUGGAAUGAUAAGGUUAAACAGUAUUGAAAUUGUGGAACAACGUUGUAAGAAUCUUUGAAAUAUCAUCUUUGGCAUUUCCUUUUCCAUUACCUCUGUGGUCAGUCAGUCACCCAUAUUACCAAUUCUAAAGCCUAAAUAUCUCUGGAAUUUAUUCCAUUCUUUCUCUCAUCUCUGCACUGCCAUUAUCUUAGUCCAAUCCCCCAUGAUCUCUGACCUAGACCACUAAUGUCUCUCCUUGUUUUCAUUCUUCCACUGUCCCAUAUAAGUUAGCAAAAGCUGCACUGAACUCUCAGUGGAUUACGGCACAAGCCACUUGUUUUUCUCUCUUGAGGUCUGUGAGCUGCCUUAGUUCAGGGCUGUCUGUCUCAUCUUGGGACCAGUGGCUGCAGAGGCAUGCUCUUCUCAUGACUGAUGCAGGGGCAAGAGGCCAAGAGGCAAAGAGAAACCAUGCCAGCACACCUAAAGCCUCUGCUCCCGUAACACAGUAACAUUCCAUUGGCCAAAGCAAGCCACAUGGCCAAGCCUAACAUCAAGCAGGUGAGGAAAUAUACUCCCCCAAUCUACUGGGAGGGGUGCAAAGUCAUACAGUAAAAAGCAGGGAUCUACAGUAGUAUUCCAUAACUGCGGAGGGAAUGUGGAAUUAGAAAUGACAAUGUGGUUGACCACACUACCUAUUUUCUAUUCUCCAACAGCAAGCCACAGAGGUCUUCUAAGUAAACAAAUCUAAAUAAAUAAGUCACUCCCCUUCCCAAACUCUUUAACGGCUUCAUUACCAUCACAAUUAACAUGCCCUAUGGGGCCCGCUGGACUGGACCCUGCCGUCUGCUCCAGCCUACCCUCUGGUCAUGUUCCUCCUCCUUUCUAUUCUCUAGCCACACUGGACAGCUGCUGUGCCUGCCUCUCCCACCUCAAAGAUCCGCUCAAGAUAUUUGCUCUGCCUGGAAUACCUUUUUCUUCCUUUUCCUUCAUUUAAAUUUAUAUCUGAAGGAUGUCACUUCUUCAGAGAAAUUUCCCUUGAUCAACACAUUGGGUCAGGUCACCUUAUUAAAUACUAACUCCUUCUAAGGUUAGCCUCAUCACACUUAUCACAAUUGUAAUUAACUGAUACUUGGUAGUCGAAUGGUUGUUUCCAUUCCUAAAAUGUAAACUCCAUGAUUGUAGAAAUAUUGUUUAGUGUGGAGAGUAUGUUAUUUUCUUAGCUUCAGUGUUCUGUCAUAAUAAACACUCAAAACAUACACACACGGGGGUGUGUGUGUGUGUGUGUGUGUG